CAAUAGCGUAUAUUAAAGUUGCUGCAGUUAAAAAGCUCGUAGUUGCAUUUCCGAGGCAAGGGAUUAGUCCGACCUUUGGUGGGUAUUUAAUCCUCUUGCCUCGUCCUUGAGUGGUGCUUCUUGGUAUUAAGUUAUCGAGGAGAUAGCCGCUCAUCGUUUACUGUGAGAAAAUUAGAGUGUUCAAAGCAGGCUUAUGCCGUUGAAUAUAUUAGCAUGGAAUAAUAAGAUAGGACCUCGGUACUAUUUUGUUGGUUUGAGGACCAAGGUAAUGAUGAAUAGGGACAGUUGGGGGUAUUCGUAUUCAGUUGUCAGAGGUGAAAUUCUUAGAUUUACGGAAGACGAACUACUGCGAAAGCAUUUACCAAGGAUGUUUUCAUUAA
rnacentral:rRNA from 1 species